rnacentral:rRNA from 1 species
ACGGAGGGUGCAAGCGUUAUCCGGAAUCAUUGGGUUUAAAGGGUCCGCAGGCGGUCAAUUAAGUCAGAGGUGAAAUACCAUAGCUCAACUAUGGAACUGCCUUUGAUACUGGUUGACUUGAGUUAUACGGAAGUAGAUAGAAUGUGUAGUGUAGCGGUGAAAUGCAUAGAUAUUACACAGAAUACCGAUUGCGAAGGCAGUCUACUACGUAUAUACUGACGCUCAUGGACGAAAGCGUGGGGAGCGAACAGG